UACGUAGGGUGCGAGCGUUUAAUCGGAAUUACUGGGCGUAAAGCGUGCGUAGGCGGUCCGCGAAGUCUGAUGUGAAAGCCCCGGGCUCAACCUGGGAACUGCAUUGGAAACUAACGGGCUCGAGUGUGGCAGAGGGGGGUGGAAUUCCACGUGUAGCAGUGAAAUGCGUAGAGAUGUGGAGGAACACCGAUGGCGAAGGCAGCCCCCUGGGCUAACACUGACGCUCAGGCACGAAAGCGUGGGAGCAAACAGG
rnacentral:rRNA from 1 species